rnacentral:lncRNA from 1 species
GUGGAAGCCGCGGCCUUCCAUUAUUGUGUUUGUCGAAAAUUGAAGGUCGGAGAUGCCACCGAAGCUCAGAAAAGGCUUCAAUUUUUUUUCUCACUCUUUCCUUUCUCCCCAUGACUUUAGACCCUCAUCGACCGUCGAGAUCGCCAAAAAUUUCAUGAAUCAUGAAAUCUCUAUUCGGUCGGAAUUUUUUCCUCUCUUUUCUGACCACCGACGCCAUCGGUUGCGGCAUCUCAUCCCCGAGAUCAGACCCCUAU